rnacentral:rRNA from 1 species
AGAGUUUGAUCAUGGCUCAGAACGAACGCUGGCGGCAGGCUUAACACAUGCAAGUCGAGCGCCCCGCAAGGGGAGCGGCAGACGGGUGAGUAACGCGUGGGAAUCUACCCAGCUCUACGGAAUAACUCAGGGAAACUUGUGCUAAUACCGUAUACGUCCGAUAGGAGAAAGAUUUAUCGGAGUUGGAUGAGCCCGCGUUGGAUUAGCUAGUUGGUGGGGUAAUGGCCUACCAAGGCGACGAUCCAUAGCUGGUCUGAGAGGAUGAUCAGCCACAUUGGGACUGAGACACGGCCCAAACUCCUACGGGAGGCAGCAGUGGGGAAUAUUGGACAAUGGGCGCAAGCCUGAUCCAGCCAUGCCGCGUGAGUGAUGAAGGCCCUAGGGUUGUAAAGCUCUUUCACCGGUGAAGAUAAUGACGGUAACCGGAGAAGAAGCCCCGGCUAACUUCGUGCCAGCAGCCGCGGUAAUACGAAGGGGGCUAGCGUUGUUCGGAAUUACUGGGCGUAAAGCGCACGUAGGCGGACAUUUAAGUCAGGGGUGAAAUCCCGGGGCUCAACCCCGGAACUGCCUUUGAUACUGGGUGUCUUGAGUUCGAGAGAGGUGAGUGGAAUUCCGAGUGUAGAGGCGAAAUUCGUAGAUAUUCGGAGGAACACCAGUGGCGAAGGCGGCUCACUGGCUCGAUACUGACGCUGAGGUGCGAAAGCGUGGGGAGCAAACAGGAUUAGAUACCCUAGUAGUCC